rnacentral:tRNA from 1 species
CGUUCUAUGGCCGAAUUGGUAAAGGCAUCGCCGAUCACAGGCGAUGCGGGUUCAAGUUCCGCUGAAACUG